GACAAACGCUGGCGGCGUGCCUAAGACAUGCAAGUCGGACGGAGGGGUCUUCGGGCCCUUCAGUGGCGGACGGGUGAGGAACGCGUGGGUAACCUGCCCCGGGGUGGGGGAUACCGCCCAGAAAUGGGCGCUAAGACCGCAUACGAGCAGGGGGCGCAAGCCCGCUGGGGAAAAGCGAUGAGCUGCCCUGGGAGGGGCCCGCGUCGGAUUAGCUAGUUGGUGGGGUAAGGGCUCACCAAGGCUGCGAUCCGUAGCUGGUCUGAGAGGACGGCCAGCC
rnacentral:rRNA from 1 species